rnacentral:rRNA from 1 species
CCUAACACAUGCAAGUCGAACGCAGUAGCAAUACUGAGUGGCAGACGGGUGAGUAUAAUGUGGGAAUCUGCCUUUUGGUUCGGAAUAACUCGGGGAAACUUGAGCUAAUACCGGAUAAGCCCUUACGGGGAAAGAUUUAUCGCCGAAAGAUGAGCCCGCACUUGAUUAGCUAGUUGGUGAGGUAACUGCUCACCAAGGCAACAAUCAAUAGCUGUUCUUAGAGGAAGACCAGCCACAUUGGGACUGAGACACGGCCCAGACUCCUACGGGAGGCAGCAGUGGGGAAUCUUGCACAAUGGGGGAAACCCUGAUGCAGCGAUGCCGCGUGAGUGAAGAAGGCCUUUGGGUUGUAAAACUCUUUCGUCGGGGAAGAAAAUGACUGUACCCGAAUAAGAAGGUCCGGCUAACUUCGUGCCAGCAGCCGCGGUAAUACGAAGGGACCUAGCGUAGUUCGGAAUUACUGGGCUUAAAGAGCUCGUAGGUGGUUAAAAAAGUUGGUGGUGAAAUCCCAAGGCUUAACCUUGGAACUGCCAUCAAAACUUUUUAGCUUGAGUGUGAUAGAGGAAAGUGGAAUUUCUAGUGUAGAGGUGAAAUUCGUAGAUAUU